GAGGAAAUCUGUGACCCCAGGAUGAGCUUCAGGAAAAGAGGUGAAAGGGGAGCCGCCUACUGCUGAAGAUACCAUGCACUUCAGACACAGGCCAAAGGCUCCUGGAGCUGGAUCGGACCUGAAUGUCUUGAGGACUAGCUUUCAUGAUUCCAGAAGGCGCCGUGCAAUACCAACCGUCCUCCCAGCCAUGAACAAUGGCCAGCACAGUCCGAUAACCCACAGGUGCAGUGGUGGCACACACCCUAGCGGUAACCAUCUUCCCUUUAACUAGAUCUAAGACCCUAUCAACAAGCGGAAGUCACGUAUGGUACUGGAACCCUACCUAACUACUCAGUGCUAGUGCAGUCAUGGAACUUGGAGGAGAACCUAUAACCACUAAACCACCAUGAUCCUAA